AUAUUGUGCUAUGUUACAUGUAUAUAGAAUGAUUGAUGGAAUGAAGUUGGAAGAAAGUUAGAAAUUUGGAGAAGGAUCUCAAGAGGACUUCGAGGGAACUCCCGGCGAAGCGUCUUAGAGCUAAUUUCUCAAACUUUGACUUUUGAUACUUGGUUUGGAAGUGGAAGUUCUGAGGCUUAAUUAGUGACCCC